rnacentral:piRNA from 1 species
UAACCCUGAUUCUUGGAAAACAGCUGAGGGU